CUUUGCAAGAAUAAUGAUAAUUCUCUUUCCCGAAAUUCAGUGAGCUGGUUUUUAUUUGCUAAGAGCCCAAUAUUUAAUGUUGCAAUAUUAUUAUAAAAAUAAAUACCAGAGGCUACAUACCUCCCGCACUGAAUCAUAGCUGGUUUUUCAGCCCCCAGUCUUAUCUGCUCAAGCUGUCUACCCCUUCCCAGCUAUGAAAUAAAACUAAGGACAAGCUUAGUUUUCCAAUUUAUUAUAAAUAAAUACCCAACCCACGUAGGCCCAGAAUCAGCCACCAUGAAACUACGUUAUAGUACCUAAAUUAAAAUUCCACAUUAAUACUUUCUCCUGAAAUAACCUAUAAAAUACAAAUAGAUAAAACUAUGCAAAGAUCAAUAUCACAUCUAUACUACUUAAUAGUCUCCCUUAUAUAUAAGCAAGGAACUCGGCAACUACUUAUUCCGACUGUUUAACAAAAACAUUGCCUGUAGCUUAUUUUAUUACAGGUACACCCUGCCCAGUGUUAUUAUAAACGGCCGCGGUACCCUGACCGUGCAAAGGUAGCAUAAUAAUUUGCCUUUUAAUUGAAGGCUGGCAUGAAAGGGUAAACGAGAAUAAAGCUGUCUCGCUUAUACUAAUAAAAAUUUAUCCUCAGGUGAAGAAGCCUGAAUUUAUAUAAAAGACAAGAAGACCCCGUCGAGCUUUAGUAAAAUAUAUGACCCCCUUCAUUACCCUACUUCCCCCCAUAUACUAACCUUUGUUGGGGCGACAAUGGAAUAUAUUAAUCUUCCAACACAUCAAAGACCCUACGUCACCCAAAUGACCCUCUACUGAUCAUAAGAAAUAGCUACCGCAGGGAUAACAGACUAAUCUUCCUUCGGAGCCCAAAUCUACAGGAAGGCUUGGCACCUCGAUGUUGGCUUAGGAAUAUCCCCUAGAUGAAGCAGUCUAGGAAGUGGGUUUGUUCAACCCUUAAUAUCCUACAUGAG
rnacentral:rRNA from 1 species